GCCUCGAUGGUGUAGUGGCAGCACGCACGCACGCUAUGAGUGAAACACAGGUUCAACUCCCGUCCGAGGUC